rnacentral:rRNA from 1 species
CAGCAGCCGCGGUAAUACGGAGGGUGCAAGCGUUAAUCGGAAUUACUGGGCGUAAAGCGUGCAUAGGCGGUUCGUUAAGUCUGUUGUGAAAGCCCCGGGCUCAACCUGGGAAUGGCAAUGGAUACUGGCGAGCUAGAGUGUGUCAGAGGAUGGUGGAAUUCCCGGUGUAGCGGUGAAAUGCGUAGAGAUCGGGAGGAACAUCAGUGGCGAAGGCGGCCAUCUGGGACAACACUGACGCUGAGGCACGAAAGCGUGGGGAGCAAACAGGAUUAGAUACCCCGGUAGUCCCUGUCUCUUAUAA